UACAGAGGGUGCAAGCGUUGUUCGGAAUUAUUGGGCGUAAAGCGCGCGUAGGCUGCGGGGCAAGUCGGGUGUGAAAUCUCAGAGCUCAACUCUGAAACUGCACUCGAUACUGCUUUGCUUGAGGACUGGAGAGGAGAUUGGAAUUCACGGUGUAGCAGUGAAAUGCGUAGAUAUCAUGAGGAAGACCAGUGGCGAAGGCGGAUCUCUGGACAGUUCCUGACGCUGAGGCGCGAAGGCCAGGGGAGCAAACGGG
rnacentral:rRNA from 1 species